GAAAAUUGUCCCGGACCCGACCCGAGCAGUCGUUACCGCUGUGUACGGAUCAUCCCCAAACAUCUACAAAACAUCACCGUUUUCUUAUUUGGACUCCCUAGCUAUUUUAUUCGCGAUCGUCUGAUUGUGAUCGGAGGGUCCGAUUAGCCCCUGACCAAAAAUCCUUGCUAUAUAUACUGCCUAACCCUAGAUCCUAGGAGCCUUGUCCCAUCAAUCCCAUCAUGCCGCCGCCACUCCUCCAGUCCCCUCUUCCUCGGGAUCCCCUCUCGAUCCAGCCCACCAACCAGUGCAAGCCACUUCUCCCCUUGAUCCCGAAUGGAUCGUGUAGCUGCUCGAGGCCCCGAGCAGGAGCGCUCGGCCUCGUCCCCUCGGGCCACCGCCGCCGGCAACCAGCGCCACCAGGGAACGAGUGGGAUAUGCCAUGGCCGCCCGCGAAAGCUUCGUCAUUGCCGGGAUCAAGUUCCUCUGGCCCCAGCCUCGGAUCCGACGUCUCCAGCCUCCCUGCUACCUUGCUCGUCCGCGCCAAGACCUCGCCUCUGCUCCACCUCAAGGCCUCGCCGUCGCUGUCGGACUUCGCCGGUGAACAGUACUGCCGCCCUGCGUCACCUGAAGCCGCCGUGCCAUGCCCGAGUCGAGCGCGAGCUUGAGGUCGAGCCAUUGAACGCGCCCAUCCUGUAGCUGCAUCCUCACUGUCUUCCGCUCCCCCGCCGGCCCUUUGCAGCCGCGGUUGCCGCUGCUGUGCUCGUCUAUGUCCCCGACGUCAUCAACCACCGCCUCCUCCUCUGCUUCGAGCAGGAGGACGAGAAGCGCCCGAUCCGUUUUGUCCUCUCGUCAAUGCCCACGCGUGGACUCUGCGCCCAUUGACUGCGAUUGGGUCGGCCUCGUCCCAGGCCCAGCUCGCCCUCCAUCGCCCAGCGCCAGGAAGGCCCAGCCACGCGCCGCUUCUUCCUCAGCCCAACGGUUCCUCUCUAGAUCUGGGCUGAAGCCCAUGGUGAGGCCCAACGCCUCCUGUGUAUUUUUUUUGUUCUUUCUUCUCUUUCUUUAUUCUCUAUUGGGCCUCUGCUUAGUUUCAGCCCGUUAGGUUUUUUCCUUAGCUGCGAUUUUAUCAAUUUCCAGGGCAUUGCACUUUGCAGAUCAGCCCUCAUACAUCAUGCAUAUCUUAUCUCACAAACGGUGCAUCAUA